UACGAGGGUGCGAGCGUUGCUCGGAAUUAUUGGGCGUAAGGGUAGGUAGGUGGUUUCGUUUGUCUGGGUGAAAGCCUUGAGCUUAACUCAAGAAGUGCCUCGGAACGGCGAAACUCGAGUACUGGAGAGGUCGUGGAAUUCCGGUGUAGCGGUGAAUGCGUAGAGAUCGGAGAACACCAGAGGCGAAGGCGGCGACCUGGACAGUUACUGACACUCAACUAC
rnacentral:rRNA from 1 species